rnacentral:tRNA from 1 species
GGAGAGAUGCCCGAGCUGGCCGAAGGGGCACGACUGGAAAUCGUGUGUACUCCCAAAAGGUGUACCAGGGGUUCGAAUCCCCUUCUCUCCGCCA